rnacentral:lncRNA from 1 species
AAAAGUGAAAAGAAUUAUAUAAGCAGCUCCCAUAUUAAGCUAAUAUUUUUUUCACCUUUGCAUCCAAUCAUUUUAUUCUGUAAAGAAUAUCAUUUCAGAUAGAGCUGAGUGCCCUUGUAUUCACACCCCAAGUCUCUUCUUACAUUUCUGUUUAAUUUAUGAACAUUUCAAUUUAUCUAAAUUAAAAUAAUGUAAUUCUAAAGUUACAAAAGGGGACCGGACCGGAACACGGAGCUAUUUCCAGGGCUUGGGGCCCUAUGUAAGAAGUCCCUGGGGUCCGGGAGAAACCUGCGGAGGGGUGUUCCCAGCUGCUGAGGAGGCGAUGUGGGUGCCCCAAGUUCAUUCUCCUUCUCUCGGCGGGAUCAGGAGGAGGCCCCGAGGCGGGGCCCCCUUCCUUGAAAGCCCCGCCCAGGCUUAUGCGGCCUUCCUGCGAGCCAUUGUGCCCGAGCUGGGACCCGCUGGGCCAGCAUGUCGGGGGUGGAGGGGCUUUUCCGGGACGCAAGACUGGGCAGCCUGGCAGGGCGGCCCCGCCAAGGAAGCCUUGAUUCUCCGAGUGGCACGUUCUCCUCGGGCCCUGCCAAGUGCCCCGCUGGGCCGGGGUGGGGGUCGGCGCCACGCUGGGGUGCAAACCACGCUGGGGGUUUGCCUUGGAAACCCGGGUGCACUCACUUCUUGGCCCCUUCCUUCCUUACAUCUUUCUCCUAAUCAUCACAGCUGUUCUUAUUGCCAAGUUCUGUGUUGCGCACUGGGAUUGCAUGGUUUCUGCCUUCACUCAUUCGUUCCCUCAUUCACUGAUUCCACAUACAGUUACGGAGCAGGAGCGUGCGCCGGCACCGUUCUAGGUACUGUACUGGGAUAAGCCUGGGAACGAAGUAAGUGAAGAUCUUUGCCUCCUGGAGCUUGUAUUCUAGCAAACAGACAACAACAACAAAAUAGAUGUGAUAAACAAGUAUAUUGUGGGAGCGAUGAUGAGCGCUGUAAAAGAGUAGAGGGGGUGGAGAAAUCAAUAAUAGGGGAGGGGCCCUCCCUGUCUUCCCUUCUCCCUCCCCGUACACAGUUCUAAUCCACAUCCCUGUCUUCACACUUUGACCUGGGAUGUCUUCUGACUCAUCACCUUGUCUCCAUCUCCUAUCAGGUUCCUACCCUCUCCUGCUAGUGUUAGCAUCAUGUUUUCUUGGAAACUUCUGUUUUCCAAGUCACUUCACAGCAAGAAGAACAUUCUAAGUGGAAAGCAGACAGUGAAAAGUCUGCAGUGGGAGUCUGCCUGGCAGGACAGGAGUUAUACAGAGAGGGUUUUGUCCCUCAGCCACCUGGGCCUUCCCUGGACUCCAGAGCUCAGCUGGAGGGGAAAAAAAUCUCCCAGAGGCAGGUCCAAGAACAGGUGGCCACAUCUGUGCUCCAGUGGCUUCCCUGGAUCUACAGAAUAACCCUGAUGUACUUGUUGGGAUGCCUGUGGUUAUUCUCUAUUCCUGAACCUUGUUCCUCUCUCCGAUCCCUUAUACUUUCACUGCGGCCUGCAGCUGACCCAUGACUGGCAGUUCCCCAGAUAUACUGUCCUGGCUGCUUCCGGACUGGGCACAUGGGCAUCUCCUGGAAUGUGAUCCACUUUCCUCCUACCUAUGUCCACCUGACAAGCCCUUCCCCUUCCUUCAAGAAUCUAUUCAACAUCACCUGCUCCAUGAUGGAGACUUUUCUUAAACUUCCCAUUGACUGUUCCAGCCCCAUCUUCUGCUUAUGUGACACCUGGCACAGACCUUGACUGGCAGGCGUCUGGCUGCCUUGCAGUUAUAGCCUGUCUCACUCACCUCCAUAUCCUCAGCAUUCAGCACCUGCCUGGCACGGAGUGGGUGCUCAUGAACCAUGUUGACUGGUUGAUUGAGCAGUGCUUGGCUGCUGUGGUCAUCUCCUGAGAGGCCCCAGGGGGCCUGAGUUAAAUAUGCCCUUGGAUAUUGAACAGACUGUAGUCACAGCUGCAGACUUCUGAGAAACUCGGAUUUCCUGUGGGUGAGGGACUGGCAGGAGAAAGGCCCUCAUUUCAAUCAUAGAAAAUGGCUGGCUGAAGAGUAUUGUUGUCCCAGAGAAUAGAAGAGGCCACCCCUCUCCUUGACUCCAUUUCUGCCCUGGGUACCAGUCUAUGGCUAGCCACACAACUCCUGGAAACCCUGGUCAAAAAUGUGCUUCCUCUGCGGCCGCUGGGGACUCUUGAGUCCUCCCAGGGCAGUGCAUUUACAAAGGGAGCAGGGACUGGCUGUCCUGCCGUCCCUCAGCCCUAAAGGCCUGCCAGCCUUCCCUUGAACGUCCCCGUCCUUCCCGUCUCCCUCCCACAUCCACAGUCCUAACCCACACCCUGCCUUCACACUGUGGCCUGGGAUGUCUUCUGGCUCACCGCCUUGUCUCCACCUUCUAUCAGUUCCUACCCUCUGCCUCCAGUGUUAGAAUCAUCUGUAGAAACUUCUGCUUUCCAAGUCACCCCUCAUUGUCCAAGGACAAAGUCCGGACACCCAUACUGGUUUCCCGGGCCUUCUGAAAAUUGACCCCAAUGCCCCUGAGCACACUUCUUCCUCUUCCUCUUCACCAACCUCCGGCCGACAGUCUGCUCACAGCCCCUCCUCUCAAGAGCGUCCCAGCUCUGGGCCUUCUUGUCCUGAAGGCCCAGUCUCUCCUCCCUUCCAGUGCUGUACACAUUCUUCCAGCUUACUCAACCCACCUCUGAGCCCUGUAUCACUUAUGCUCUCUACCUCUAGUCACUCAGUAACCAAUUAGACGGUCGACCUUGAGAGCUCUGAGGGUCCUGUCAGUUGCGCAGUUCAAUUCUGACCAUAUGUGUUUGCUGAUAUUCCACAAGUUUGUCUCAUUAGUUCUUCAUUUUUAGAGCAAGAGAUUUGAAGACCAGACCUUUGCCUUUGUCAGUGUGUAUCUUCUAGGAUAUAGUAGUCCCUGGCACAUGGUAGGAAAUUUAUUAUGGGUUUGCUGAUGGCAAGUUUCCAGACCCCUAUCCCCAGAUAUGCCUGUCUUCAGUAGUUCCCUGCUUAACUGCCAUAUGUGGGGGCUGUCAUACAUAUGCCUUCUGAAGGGAAGCUGAUAAAUAUAUGCAUACUGGGGGAUUAGAGACUUAACAUAUUUGUCCCCAGAGGGAAUCUGUAUUGUGAGAAGUACCUGCAAAGAGCACUACUGACCUGUUGUUUAGCUCUACUGAUGGAACACCAUUAUCAGUGAGAGGAAAGGUUGGCAUGGGAACCUUUUUUAGAGCCAUUUGACCAUACGCUUUUCCCCUUAGCUUCUUUACCUGGGUGUUCUGCCAGUUCUAGACUGUAGACUAGAAAGAGGAGAAAGGAACUAUCCAUUUUCAAGGAAAUUCCCCUCUCACACCUUGACUCCAUGCAAACCUGACCUCGCUAGAUGUCAUCCCUGAGAAGAGACCUCAUGUGUGGGUCAUGAUGGUGGAGGGAAGCAGGUGUUAUUCCUGUUCCUCUGUCUCGGGUCUGCAAGGCUGCCUGGAGCUCCUUGCAAGGCAGGAAGAGGUGGGCCAACAAACUACUGGGGAGACAAAUGUUACUCAAGCAAAAGAGAUGAGACAGGCUGCCAAAGGCACAUAGGGUGCAGAAUUAGAGAGAUGGGUGUGGGCAUAUGGGGAGAAGGAGGGAUGAACUCGCAUUGAUUGAGCACCUCUUGGGUGCCAGGCACUGUGCUAGCCACAUUCAUGUCCAUUACCUCAUCUAAUCUUCCCAGAGAUCUUGUAACAUAAUUGUCAGUAGCUGCAUUCUCCAACAUAGGAGUUUAUUUCCUCUCACACCCUUUCUCCAUUGUUAGUUUUCCUGUUUUUUGUUUUUUUUUUUUUCUUUUCUGGUCAUAAAGUAAUUAGUGUUCAUUAUAGACCUGAUAUAUGAAAAUAAUAAAGUACAAGAAAGGAAAAAAAUCAUCUGUCAUCUAAUAAUAAAAAUAUAAUUAUUAGCAUUUAUGUGUGUAUAUUUGUUUUUAAAAUUCAUUUUAAACAUGUGAUAUCACAUGUAUAUAAUAUUUUCUAUUCUUUUUUAAUAACCUGUAUAGCAAAAAUAUUUUCAUGUCAUUAAAAUUCUUUAAAAGCAUCUGUAUUGCCCUCACUGCUGCUACUGCUGCUAAGUCGCUUCAGUCGUGUCCAACUCUGUGCGACCCCAUAGAUGGCAGCCCACCAGGCUCCCCAUCCCUGGGAUUCUCCAGGCAAGAACACUGGAGUGGGUUGCCAUUUCCUUCUCCAACAGUGCCCCAUUAUAAGGAUAAACAGCUAGACUAGCUUUUUAGCUUUUCCCCAACUACUAGACAUCUGUUUUUCUAUCUUUUGAAAUUACAAAUAAUAGUUCUAUAACAUCAUGUACCAAUAUCUUUCUCUGAUUUCUGUUAAUUUUUUAGGAUAGAUUGAAGAAGAGAAGUUACUGGGACAAACUGCAUAAUUGUGACUUUUAAAUUUACUUUCUGAUUUUAAAAGUAACAGUUGCUUAUUGUAAAAAAAUAUAGAACACACUAAAAAAAAAAGAAAAUAAUAUCAUCCAAAGCCUUUCAAAUUGCUAUUAUAACAUUUUGGUGUGAUUGUUUCUUGGUCUUUUUUUCCAAUGACAUACAUACAUAAGUGUAAAUAAAUAUAGCUGCAUAAAGUUGGUAUUACACAGCUUACACAAUGCUAUAUUUUACUUAUGAGCAUUAUAUAAUCAUUAUAAUUAUUUUUUAAAAUACUAUUUUUAAUAGCUGUGCAAUUUCACUUUAAGAAUGCGCUAUACAAAUGUAAGCAUUCUUUUACAAAUGGCCAUUUAGAUUUGUUUUCAAAAACUUCCUAUUAAUAACUCUGAGAUGAAUAUCUAAACAUCUGUGAAUAUUCAUCUUUGACCUCAUUUCUGGUAUGUCCUCCAAAUAGAUUCCUACAAGUGAAAUUACUAGGUCAAAAUGUACCAGCCUUGUCAAAGCUGUUUGUAUGUAUUGCUAAACUGUAUUCCAAAAGCAUUGCUAAUAAUCAGGCAGAGAGUGUCCAUCUUCACAUGUCCUUGCAAUAUUAAUUUAGAUUGAAACUGCGGUAGCUUUUCAUGAGCAAAAUAUGCUUCGCUUGUUUAAUUUUCACAUUUAUGAUUAAUGAUAUUUAACAUAUUUUGAAAUGUUUGUUCAGUUCAGUUCAGUCACUCAGUCGUGUCCAACUCUUUGCGACCCCAUGAAUCUCAGCACGCCAGGCCUCCCUGUCCAUCACCAACUCCAGGAGUUCACUCAGACUCACGUCCAUCAAGUCAGUGACGCCAUCCAGCCAUCUCAUCCUCUGUCAUCCCCUUCUCCUCCUGCCCCCAAUCCCUCCCAGCAUCAGAGUCUUUUCAAUGAGUCAGCUCUUUGCAUGAGGUGGCCAAAGUACUGGAGUUUCAGC